rnacentral:lncRNA from 1 species
UUUCAUCAAUUUCUUCAAAAUUUUGUCAAAAUAUGUUAUGUUGGAAUAACCAUUUAUAUAAUUAGGGUCCCUCAACUCAUCAAAGUGUGUAAUUAUGGUCUUUUUCGUCAACUACGUAAAAAAAUUUGUCAAAACGAGUUAUGUUGGAAGGACCAUUGCUACAAUUGGGUUAAAGUUAAGGGACCAUUUCUCCAGUUGAAUUAAAGUUGAGGGACCAAAGGUAAUGGAUUUUUAGUUGAGGGACCAUAGCUACACGUUUUGAUGAGUUGAAGGACCAAUGGUAAUGGAUUUUUAGUUGAAGGACCAUUGCUCCAAUUGAGUUAAAGUUAAGGGACC